rnacentral:rRNA from 1 species
AUUGAACGCUGGCGGCAUGCCUAACACAUGCAAGUCGAACGAGUGGCGCACGGGUGUGUAACGUCUGGGACACUGCCUUAAGGAGGGGGAUAACUACUGGAACCGGUAGCUAAUACCGCAUAGCAGUAGCUUUGCCCUGAUUGUAUUAGCUUGUUGGUGGGUUAACGGUUCACCAAGGCGACGAGCCCUAGCUGGUCUGAGAGCAUAACCGGCCACACUGGAACUGAGACACGGUCCAGACUCCUACGGGAGGCAGCAGUGGGGAAUAGUGCGCAAUGGGCGCAAGCCUGAUGGAGCCAUGCCGCGUGUAUGAAGAAGGUCUUCGGGUUGUAAAGUACUUUCAGCGGGGAGGCGUUACCCGCCGAGGAAGCAACGGCUAACUACGUGCCAGCAGCCGCGGUAAUAC